rnacentral:rRNA from 1 species
CCUACGGGAGGCAGCAGUAGGGAAUAUUGGGCAAUGGUCGCAAGACUGACCCAGCCAUGCCGCGUGCGGGAAGACGGCCCUCUGGGUUGUAAACUGCUUUUAUCUGGGAAGAAAAAGUCCAUGCGUGGAAAAUUGCCGGUACCAGAUGAAUAAGCACCGGCUAACUCCGUGCCAGCAGCCGCGGUAAUACGGAGGGUGCAAGCGUUGUCCGGAUUUAUUGGGUUUAAAGGGUGCGUAGGCGGCUGAAUAAGUCAGCGGUGAAAGACUUCGGCUUAACCGGAGCAGUGCCGUUGAUACUGUUUAGCUUGAGUGUUGGAGGGGUACAUGGAAUUGAUGGUGUAGCGGUGAAAUGCAUAGAUACCAUCAGGAACACCGAUAGCGAAGGCAUUGUACUGGCCAGCAACUGACGCUGAGGCACGAAAGUGUGGGGAUCGAACAGGAUUAGAUACCCUGGUAGUCCACACUGUAAACGGUGAUUACUCGCUGUUAUGGUGUAUGCUGUAGCGGCCAAGCGAAAGCGUUAAGUAAUCCACCUGGGGAAGUACGCCGGCAACGGUGAAACUUCAAAGGAAUUGACGG